rnacentral:rRNA from 1 species
AGGAUGAACGCUGGCGGCGUGCCUAACACAUGCAAGUCGAACGUCCUGUCUCGCAAGAGGCAGGGAGUGGCGGACGGGUGAGUACCACGUGGGUUAUCUACCGUGAGGUGAGGAAUACCGGCGAGAAAUCGCCGACAAGACCGCAUAGGCUCGAUGCAAGUCGAGCAAAGCUCGCUCGCAAGAGGGAGCGCCACACGAGGAGCCUGCGCCCGAUUAGCUGGCUGGUGGAGUAAUGGUUCACCAGGGCGACGAUCGGUAGCUGGUCUGAGAGGACGAUCAGCCACACUGGGAUUGAGAACGGCCCAGACUCCUACGGGGGGCAGCAGUGAGGAAUUUUCGUCAAUGGGGGCAACCCUGAACGAGCAACGCCGCGUGCAGGAAGAAGGUUUUCGGAUCGUAAACUGCUUUUCGCGGGAAGAGAACGGACGGUACCCGAGGAACGAACGCCCGGCUAACGUACGUGCCAGCAGCCGCGGU